rfam:Ipomoea nil DNA, scaffold: scaffold2694, cultivar: Tokyo-kokei standard.
UUUGUUGUCGUCCAGCGGUUAGGAUAUCUGGGUUUCGCCCAGGAGAUCCGGGUCCUAUUCCCGACAACGGAA